UGGGGAAUAUUGCACAAUGGGGGAAACCCUGAUGCAGCGACGCCGCGUGAACGAAGAAGGUAUUCGUAUCGUAAAGUUCUGUCCUACGGGAAGAUAAUGACAGUACCAUAGAAGAAAGCUCCGGCUAAAUACGUGCCAGCAGCCGCGGUAAUACGUAUGGAGCGAGCGUUGUCCGGAAUUAUUGGGCGUAAAGGGUACGCAGGCGGUUUAAUAAGUCGAAUGUUAAAGAUCGGGGCUCAACCCCGCAAAGCAUUGGAAACUGAUAAACUUGAGUAGUGGAGAGGAAAGUGGAAUUCCUAGUGUAGUGGUGAAAUACGUAGAUAUUAGGAGGAAUACCAGUAGCGAAGGCGACUUUCUGGACACAAACUGACGCUGAGGUACGAAAGCGUGGGGAGCAAACAGG
rnacentral:rRNA from 1 species